rnacentral:lncRNA from 1 species
AUCUACUGAACAGAAAGAAAAUGUGGCCCUGGCCAGGCUCUGCCAGGAACUGUGGGAGACUCAGGUGAUGAAGCUGCUGAGGCGGGGCUCUACAUAGGAGGCCCUGGCUGUCUCUGACUUCUCACUUUCCGUGCUGCCCACAGGAGGGCCUGGAAGCCUCCAGGCUGCAAGAUCAGCAGUCAGCCCCACAGAGAGUCCUGGCCCUGGCCGGGGAAGUUGAGUGGAGAUGCCCAGGGCAGGGUGGGCUGAGCAGAGCUGUGAAACAGAGAGCUGAGUGGAGAGAGACCUCUAGAGUGCUGCUCAUUCUCUCCCAGAGGGCGGUGUUCCAGGGGGACCUGGCAAGGUGGGUGAAGAGGGGGCCUUGGGCUGCUCUGCCUCCCUUGUGUGGCUCACUGGGGACCCUCCUGGCUGCUCCCAAUUUGAAAUGAAGGCGAUGUGGAGGAAAGGAGUGUGGAGACUCCUCUAUCUGACAACACCACCCCUGAAGACUCGGGCCACACAGAGGCCAUGGAACAGCAGGCUCCGCUGCCCAGGGACCUGAGGCAGCAGAAAGGGCAACGGUGCUACCAGACCCACGUGGCAGCCCUAACCCAGGACAAACCUGAGGAUGAAGCUCGCACCCCCAGGAGGAGGCGUGACCCUGUGUCCAUGGGGAAGCUGCCAGUGAGUCUGUCCUGCCAGGCCAGGAAGGGUGGGCAGGGCAGGUGGGCACAGAGGCCUGAC